AGCACCAUCUGAAAUCGGUUA
rnacentral:ncRNA from 2 species